rnacentral:rRNA from 1 species
UACGACUACAUCAUGUUGGAACACUGGUUCUCAUACAAUCACUGAAGUUAAGCAAGGUCAAAUUUGGUCAGUACUUGAUGGGUGACUACUUGGGAGUACCAGGUGCUGUAAGC